rnacentral:hammerhead_ribozyme from 1 species
AUCCAACUGACUCGUCCCAAAUAGGACGAAACGCGCGUCCUGGAU